GGAUGAGAGGUGGAUCCCACAGACACUGCCCACUGGGUAGUACUAGGCAAUUUGAAAGCUAUAAAAAGCCCCCAAAGUCUUCAGCUGGGGGGCUUCAGUUUGAGUCUUUGACUUGGAGCUUUGGCUGGAACUGCCUUUUAGAGGUGAGCUAUGUAGGAAAGGAUUUCUAGUAGGGCAUAGCAAUGCAGGCUGGCAGUGUGUAUGAUCAAGAUUCCACAGACUUUGGCUGGGUCAGGAUUCUAAGGCAGUUGGAAAUCUCUCUCCAUGAAGCUAAUCAGACUUGAAGGUGUGCCUAGUGGUGGUCUCUCUGAAGAACCAAUUGAGGAGCUGCCAAGGACUUUUGGAUUAUCAAAAGGUUAAGUGAGUGUUUCCCUUCACCGUGGUGGACAUUGUGAAUGCUAUGGCCCUAGGGGCUGCUGGGAGUGCCCGGUGGGGACGGAAAAAGGUGGCAUUUUAAUGAACCUUCCUCGAGCUGCACUGGGAUCAUGCCACAGCCUAAGGGGUGCAGAGAUGCCAAGAAGGCUGUGCUGGAAGAAAAAUGAGGGGUGGCCAUCAACCUCACAGUAUAAGAUGUCUCAUGAUGAGAAGGGGAUUCACUGUCUCCUGAAAGAGCCCUUUCAAAUGGUGGUUUUCAUUGUUAAGAGGUUUGUACUUAAUGUAGAAAAGUGGAUUGGAUUGCCACAGGAAGCAGAAUUUCUUAUCACUGGAAAUCUUCAAGCAGAGGUAGGAUGACUUCUUGUUAGGGGA
rnacentral:lncRNA from 1 species